AUUGAACGCUGGCGGUAGGCCUAACACAUGCAAGUCGAACGCGAAAGUCCUUCGGGAUGAGUAGAGUGGCGGACGGGUGAGUAACGCGUAGGAAUCUAUCCUGUAGUGGGGGAUAACGUUUCGAAAGGAACGCUAAUACCGCAUACGCACCAAGGGGGAAAGCGGGGGAUCUUCGGACCUCGUGCUAUAGGAGGAGCCUGCGUCGGAUUCGCUAGUUGGUGAGGUAAAGGCUCACCAAGGCGACGAUCCGUAGCUGGUCUGAGAGGAUGAUCAGCCACACCGGAACUGAGACACGGUCCGGACUCCUACGGGAGGCAGCAGUGGGGAAUAUUGCGCAAUGGGCGAAAGCCUGACGCAGCCAUACCGCGUGUGUGAAGAAGGCCUUCGGGUUGUAAAGCACUUUCAGUGGGGAGGAAAAGCUGGUGGCUAAUAUCCAUCGGCCGUGACGCUACCCACAGAAGAAGCACCGGCUAAUUCCGUGCCAGCAGCCGCCGUAACAC
rnacentral:rRNA from 1 species